GGAUGUGAGGACGAUUGGCUACAACAUAUCUGUUAACCCACUGAUUGCCAGAGUUGAUUCAGCUGAUCUGGCUGGGCUAAGUGGGUGUCCCCUUCCUCCCUCAUCGCUCCAUGUGCGUCCCUCUCGAAGCCGCAUGCUUGGUCGAAGAGGACGACCAUCCACGAUAGAGGAGGACUGGUCUUUGGUCAAGGGUAUACGAGUAGCUGCGCUCCGCUGCUAGAACCUCCAAACAAGCUCUCAAAGUAAUAUAGCUAGGGAAAUUUUGAAUAUACAAAAGUCUGAGGCUUAGUAGUGAAGAUAUAGUACGUUUGAAGAGAAAUAAUAAAUGUAUAAGAAAUAGCAGGUAAUUUUUACUAU
ensembl:misc_RNA 7SK 7SK RNA